rnacentral:rRNA from 1 species
UACGUAGGGUGCGAGCGUUAAUCGGAAUUACUGGGCGUAAAGCGUGCGCAGGCGGUUCUAUAAGACAGAUGUGAAAUCCCCGGGCUCAACCUGGGAACUGCAUUUGUGACUGUAGAGCUGGAGUACGGCAGAGGGGGAUGGAAUUCCGCGUGUAGCAGUGAAAUGCGUAGAUAUGCGGAGGAACACCGAUGGCGAAGGCAAUCCCCUGGGCCUGUACUGACGCUCAUGCACGAAAGCGUGGGGAGCAAACAGG